AUUGAACGCUGGCGGCAUGCCUUACACAUGCAAGUCGAACGGCAGCACGGGAGCAAUCCUGGUGGCGAGUGGCGAACGGGUGAGUAAUAUAUCGGAACGUGCCCAGUCGUGGGGGAUAACGUAGCGAAAGCUACGCUAAUACCGCAUACGAUCUAUGGAUGAAAGCGGGGGAUCGCAAGACCUCGCGCGAUUGGAGCGGCCGAUAUCAGAUUAGGUAGUUGGUGAGGUAAAGGCUCACCCAAGCCGACGAUCUGUAGCUGGUCUGAGAGGACGACCAGCCACACUGGGACUGAGACACGGCCCAGACUCCUACGGAGGCAGCAGUGGGGGAAUUUUUGGGACAAUAGGGCGCAAGCCUGAUCCAGCAAUGCCGCGUGCAGGAUGAA
rnacentral:rRNA from 1 species